GUCCCGGCGGACGGCUGAGUAACACGUGGCCAACCUACCCUCGGGAGGGGGAUAACCCCGGGAAACUGGGGCUAAUCCCCCAUAGGCCUGAGGUACUGGAAGGUCCUCAGGCCGAAAGGGGCUUUUGCCCGCCCGAGGAUGGGCCGGCGGCCGAUUAGGUAGUUGGUGGGGUAACGGCCCACCAAGCCGAAGAUCGGUACGGGCUGUGAGAGCAGGAGCCCGGAGAUGGACACUGAGACACGGGUCCAGGCCCUACGGGGCGCAGCAGGCGCGAAACCUCCGCAAUGCGGGAAACCGCGACGGGGGGACCCCGAGUGCCGUGGCACCGCCACGGCUUUUCCGGAGUGUAAAAAGCUCCGGGAAUAAGGGCUGGGCAAGGCCGGUGGCAGCCGCCGCGGUAAUACCGGCGGCCCGAGUGGUGGCCGCUAUUAUUGGGCCUAAAGCGUCCGUAGCCGGGCCCGUAAGUCCCUGGCGAAAUCCCACGGCUCAACCGUGGGGCUUGCUGGGGAUACUGCGGGCCUUGGGACCGGGAGAGGCGGGGGGUACCCCUGGGGUAGGGGUGAAAUCCUAUAAUCCCAGGGGGACCGCCAGUGGCGAAGG
rnacentral:rRNA from 1 species